CCCACUGUUCCUAGGCUGUCAUUUUAAAUAAGAAUUUGUUCUUAACUGACUUGCCUAGUUAAAUAAUGGUAUUUUUUAAAAAUAUUUAAAAAAAACUUGAAUAUGUUUGAGGCCAUUUGAUACACUGACUUGGUAUUACUGCUUGCGUUUAGUAUGUCAAUCGCAGGACCCACUCUGCCAUUUGUCCUGGAUCCUACUGGUUCCCCUAAUGCGGCGCGCCAUAUGAGUGAAAACCUGGUCAAGCACAUCAGAUACUGGUUUGAGCAACGAAACCCACAGAACCGGCACAGAAUCUGUGUUCAGCAAUGUUCCCUGCCAGGCGACAACAAUACCUCACACCAAGCAAAGAGACGGCUACAAUUGUGUUGUUUAUGUGCUUCUGAUGGCCAGAGAGUUAAUGCAGAGGGAGAAGGCACUACGUGACCCAACUGUCCCAAUGCAUGUUAACAUCAGUGGGGCCAGAAUGGAGGUGGCCAAAGAGAUCCUUGACAAAGAGGGAGUGCUCCACAUGCUCCAGUUGGUACCACACCACCUGUGCCGGUGUAUCAUCACCAUCUACCAUCAACACAGAGAUAAUCCUGCCUUACAAUGGAUGUGCCCACCCUGCUACCAUUGAAGGCCUGCACACCAAGGCUACUAUUGCGUCAAUACGGUGUCAAGAUGUUUCAAGGAUGGGGUCCAACAACGCAGCAAGAGAGGCAAUCCGUGUGUGGGAGAUCUUCACCUCAUACUUCUUCGAAGAGGGUGCUGUUCCAAGGGUGCAAACACCAUAGACUACACUAUGCACAACCAAAGGCUCUUUUAAGAGCCAUCCACACUGCACUAAGAGUAUUCUUCCCAGCAUAAAGUACUCUGCAGCCACUUAGUGUGGACACCAGGUG